CAGCAGCCGCGGUAAUACGUAGGUGGCAAGCGUUGUCCGGAAUUAUUGGGCGUAAAGGGCUCGCAGGCGGUUUCUUAAGUCUGAUGUGAAAGCCCCCGGCUCAACCGGGGAGGGUCAUUGGAAACUGGGAAACUUGAGUGCAGAAGAGGAGAGUGGAAUUCCAUGUGUAGCGGUGAAAUGCGUAGAGAUGUGGAGGAACACCAGUGGCGAAGGCGACUCUCUGGUCUGUAACUGACGCUGAGGAGCGAAAGCGUGGGGAGCGAACAGGAUUAGAUACCCGCGUAGUCCCUGUCUCUUAUAC
rnacentral:rRNA from 1 species